GAUGAACGCUGGCGGCGUGCCUAACACAUGCAAGUCGAACGGAGUGGAGGAGCUUGCUCCAAAACUUAGUGGCGGACGGGUGAGUAACGCGUGGGUAACCUGCCCUUAAGUGGGGGAUAACAGUUGGAAACGACUGCUAAUACCGCAUAAAGUUAAGAGUUCGCAUGGACACUUAACCAAAGGAGAAAUCCGCUUUUGGAUGGACCCGCGUCUGAUUAGCUAGUUGGUGAGGUAACGGCUGACCAAGGCUGCGAUCAGUAGCCGGCCUGAGAGGGUGAGCGGCCACACUGGGACUGAGACAAGGCCCAGACUCCUACGGGAGGCAGCAGUGGGGAAUCUUCCGCAAUGGACGAAAGUCUGACGGAGCAACGCCGCGUGAGGGAUGAAGGCCUUCGGGUUGUAAACCUCUGUCUUCAGGGAAGAAAAAAAUGACGGUACCUGAGGAGGAAGCCCCGGCUAACUCCGUGCCAGCCGCCGCGGUAAAAC
rnacentral:rRNA from 1 species